rnacentral:rRNA from 1 species
UGGGGAAUAUUGGACAAUGGGGGCAACCCUGAUCCAGCAAUUCUGUGUGCACGAUGAAGGUUUUCGGAUUGUAAAGUGCUUUCAGCAGGGAAGAAAAAAAUGACGGUACCUGCAGAAGAAGCGACGGCUAAAUACGUGCCAGCAGCCGCGGUAAUACGUAUGUCGCAAGCGUUAUCCGGAAUUAUUGGGCAUAAAGGGCAUCUAGGCGGCCAGAUAAGUCUGGGGUGAAAACUUGCGGCUCAACCGCAAGCCUGCCCUGGAAACUAUGUGGCUAGAGUACUGGAGAGGUGGACGGAACUGCACGAGUAGAGGUGAAAUUCGUAGAUAUGUGCAGGAAUGCCGAUGAUGAAGAUAGUUCACUGGACGGUAACUGACGCUGAAGUGCGAAAGCUAGGGGAGCAAACAGGAUUAGAUACCCUGGUAGUCCUAGCUGUAAACGAUGAUUACUGGGUGUGGGCAUGAAGAGUGUCCGUGCCGAAGCUAAUGCGAUAAGUAAUCCGCCUGGGGAGUACGGCCGCAAGGCUG